rnacentral:lncRNA from 10 species
UAUACAAGGUUGGAGAAUUUUUGUUGAUUGUACACGUAGUAGGAAUUUGAGUACAGAUGAAAUCCCAGUAAGCUUAAUGAGAUUAGUGCAUGUUUGCCAAUUACUUUGGGUUAUUUGGUUUUUUUUUUUUUUUUUUUUUUUUUUAAGAGGGGCCAGGCAGGAGCAACAAUUAAACCCAAUGUAUGACUGUGCUGUGGUGUAACUUCUGACAGCAGGAUGUCUGAAAGAGAUACUGCUCUUUGCUCUUCCAGCCCCUGAGAGACAGGGUAUCUCAUAGCCUCCAACCUCCUGCUGGGAGGAUGAGGAACCAUCCUUCAGUGCUUGCCUGCCUGAGUUUGGGCUGCCACUCUAGAACUCCCUGCUCAGCUUCCCAGCCAGUCCAGAUUGUGGAAUGUGGCUGCUUCUCCCCUUUUAGCUGGGGCAACCACAGGUGGUUCAAGCAACCUCUGCCUGGGCCUGUUGAACUCCACCAGGAGGAGGCAGCCCCAAAGUUCCACACAUCUGGACAUCUGGGGCCUUGGACAGUGAUAUGGUCAGCACAUGGAGAUUGAAUCUAUGUCUGAGGUGGAUACACAUUAACUAAGCUCACAAGCUUAAUGAAUAAGCUGUAACCCAACUCAUUAAUGUAUACCAGCCAGUGUGUUGCAGCCAAAUCCUUCCAGGCAUGCAGGCCCCAGAACAAAGAGGAUUAACAAAGAGCAGAUGAAAACAAUUCUAGCCAGUAAGCUAAAGGAGAAAUCUGCUGGGGAAUUCUGAGAAAGAUGUCUUUGCUCUGUAAAAAGGAACUAACAAAAACUUUGCAUCCAGUAUUGGCUGAGAUCUCAUUGGACCACAGACCUCUCACAUGACAAAAUUAUAAAAAGCAACUAUUAAAACACUGGAGAGUGAUCAAAAGACAUGGCUAUUGGAGACAAUACUUGGAAGAAGGGACUAGCACUGGAUAAGUUUGUCAUUUUUUGUAGCUUUUUGCAUAAGGGAAGCCCCUAAUCAGGGUCAUGUGGGGUGGUUAAAACUAGAAUAUAAGCCCACAGUUGUACUGGCAUAAAAAACCAGAGGGCAGAGUUCUGGUGACCAUAUAGCUGAUAAAUGAGGAGAAAAUCCUGGAGAGGAGAAGGAGCCACAAAUGGGUAGCCCCAAAUUCUGUGUGUAGAGUCCUCAAAUUUCUGAACCCUACAUGUAUGGGACAGACUCCAAGCAGCACAGGUAGGGCUAACAUAUCUGAACUAAGAUUUCAGGUCCCAUCCAGCGGAUGGGACAGUAUGUGCAGUUUGAGAGUUCAGCCAAGUUAACUGCCUGCUAAAACAAACACAAAAAGCAAUACUUCUCAGAAGAAUAGAAGGAAUUCAGAGUCCCUACACCAUACAUUCACAAUGUUCA